GAGCUGCGGCUGUCAGCGUCCAGGAGCCAGCCUGGAGCAUCUCUGACUCAGUGGUCAUUCAGGGGUCACACAGGGGCGGACACAGAGAAGACCCUGAGAAGGACGAGUCUGCCUCACAAAAGGCAGAUGGAGGCCCCAUCUUCACUUUGCUUUUACAGUAAACUGUAAAAGUCUUCUGAAUACCAACAGCACUAAAUACCAGCACUGAUUCUUCUAUGUUAUUGGUCUAACAUGAAUGCUAGGACGCUCGUGACCCCCAGAAAGGCUGUGGGAGAACCAUGUCAAUCACAUUACAGGGUCUACUCUGCAGCCUCCUCCAGCGACUGCAGACAAUGGGUCAUUAAGUUCCAGAAAGGACGAGGAUGGCCAGGGUCAGGUGCCAGGACCACAGGCGCUCUGGGCUCUGCCACGUGUCCGAAGCACCCUGGCGAGGCUCCUGAUGACUCAAGCUCCACAGCUGGAAGUGAGCAGGACCACCCGUGCUGCCCCAGUGGAGCCAAAUCAGUGCACGCUUUCCACUCUCAGCAGCCUCUCCAGUCCCCACCUCAUCGUCAGCCCAAGGCUCCGGCCAGCUGCCAUCCCAUGCCAGCGAUAGAUGGCCCAAUGGUGGAAGACUCAGGAACGCCCACUGCUGGCCACCUUGAGUUCUGCCACUGGGGACCAGAGGAUCAGGCUCAGGACCAAGGACUUUCUUCACUCCUCUUGGCCCAGUCACAAGUACGGCACUUGUCCUGCCCAAGACUGUGACUUUGAUAAGAACCUAUUGGACACCGGAUGUGAUUUUUAAGCCCUACCCUAACCAGAUCUGCCGCUCAUUCUCAAAGUCAAAA